GGGAAGAAGAAAGUGACGGUACCAACAGAAGAAGCGACGGCUAAAUACGUGCCAGCAGCCGCGGUAAUACGUAUGUCGCAAGCGUUAUCCGGAUUUAUUGGGCGUAAAGCGCGUCUAGGCGGUUUGGUAAGUCUGAUGUGAAAAUGCGGGGCUCAACUCCGUAUUGCGUUGGAAACUGCCAAACUAGAGUACUGGAGAGGUAGGCGGAACUACAAGUGUAGAGGUGAAAUUCGUAGAUAUUUGUAGGAAUGCCGAUGGGGAAGCCAGCCUACUGGACAGAUACUGACGCUAAAGCGCGAAAGC
rnacentral:rRNA from 1 species